AACGGACGCUGGCGGCAUGCCUAACACAUGCAAGUCGAACGAGACCUUCGGGUCUAGUGGCGCACGGGUGCGUAACGCGUGGGAACCUGCCCUUAGGUUCGGAAUAACUCCCCGAAAGGGGUGCUAAUACCGGAUAAUGUCUUCGGACCAAAGAUUUAUCGCCUUUGGAUGGGCCCGCGUUGGAUUAGCUAGUUGGUAGGGUAAAAGCCUACCAAGGCGACGAUCCAUAGCUGGUCUGAGAGGAUGAUCAGCCACACUGGGACUGAGACACGGCCCAGACUCCUACGGGAGGCAGCAGUGGGGAAUAUUGGACAAUGGGCGAAAGCCUGAUCCAGCAAUGCCGCGUGAGUGAUGAAGGCCUUAGGGUUGUAAAGCUCUUUUACCCAGGAUGAUAAUGACAGUACCGGGAGAAUAAGCUCCGGCUAACUCCGUG
rnacentral:rRNA from 1 species